AACUCGCCUUGUGGUGUGUUUCGUCUUUUCGUGGUGGGAUUCAGCAGCUGACGCCUAACAGUUCGUUAACUGUUAGCGGCCUGUCAGUGGCAUUUCCCAGCCGCAUUACCUCGUCGCUGGCAGCUGGAAAAAUGUGUACCCAAUCCCUGGACUCAUAGUUGCUGUCCCAAUGCGCGGCAUUCCCGUUCGGAAAAAAGAACGAUUUCUAGUUUUGAAAUAAAACUGAUAUUGAAUGAAUGUUGUAGAGUACCAAGAAAAUGCAUAAGUUAGGUCGAGAGUUGUUUAUACGAAUAGGCAAGAAAGAUGAGAAUAAAAGCAAGAGUAUGGUCGACUAUGCCAAUUAUGAAUUAAACAGCCAUCUUUAAGUAUUCCACCAUUAAGACAAUUUUUGGGUCAUAACGCCCGACUUUGUAAGGGAAACCCCUUUCUUGUGCUGAUAAGGUAUUUUCCACCAACGGUCUCUUCGCGGUGAAAUGUUAUGAUUCAAACAGAACGCUGUAAGGCUGUCGCUGUCCGUAAACUAAUGUUAAUGUUAAAUGUUAAUCCUAACACUUUCGACUGUUGUCAGCGGGCCUACACUAGAUGGCGCUACGCUACAGAGCUGUGUAUCUUACACGUAAAUAACAAAAAUAAAUGUAUGCUCCUGCUCACCAUUGACCAUAGGGGAUGGCGACCUCAUCCACUGGCCACCAACGAUGGAGACACUGCCACUGUCAUUGCUGGCGCACGCUGACGCCUAGAACGAUCUCGGAUCCCACAAUGCCGGUACAUGCUGGGCAAUUCACACUGCCAAACUUUCCACCAGAUCCUGCAUUCGAUCCAGAAUGGGAUCUCACUGCGCUGCUGUUUCCUGCUCAGCCCUUAUUAGCCGGCGAGUACGCCGGGUUCACCUUGGUGCGGGCUCGAGCAUUCUGAAGAACACAGAUGGUUGUCACCCGCGCUCGAAGCUCUCCUGGAAAACAUCCUUGAGCAGGGUAAGAACAUGGACGCUGUGCAUCAGCUUCAGGUGACGUUCAAUGGUCCAAGCGCUCAGUCUCUCACUUUUAAAGCUAUCGGUCUGAAACUUUUCCAAAAGUAAUUUUUCUUUUGCAGGUAGUUUAUAAGUCGGAACCAGCCGAAUCGGACAAACAUAUCUUAUAGCUCUCAUAGGAAUUAGCAAACAAAAAUUUUACUUGUGGUGUUUUUAACAUAUAACUAACUAAGCUUUAAUUAGUUCUGAAUUUCGAAUUUAAUUUUAUCAAAAUCGUACGACUAUAUCAAAAAGUUGUCAUAGGAACGAUCGGAAAAUUGGUGGGAAAAUAAUAUUUAACAAAUUAUAGCUCCGGUGUUUUUUGACAUAUCUUAUAAUAUUGAGAAUAUAAUUUUUUAUACUUUUAAGAAUUUCGAAUUAAAUUUAAUAAAAAUCGGAAGACUCUAA